UGGUCGUCCCCUACUUCGUUUGUGUUGUGCUACAUGUGUGCAUACAUGUGCAGGAGGUCAUUCAUCUUCCAGCGGUUUCUGCGAGGAUAUAUACACUGUCAUGCAGGCACUCAUGUGUUACCAGCAGGACAAGGAUUAUUCCUCCACGAGUGCUCACCUGGUCAUCGUCGUCAUCUCUGGUUCCACGUCUCGUUUCCUGCACAAACUCUGCUGUCCUGGGAUAUUUCUGCCGAACCCUCCAGCCAAGCCUCGCCUUCAAGUCAAGAAUCCGGACUCUUUUCAUCUGAUUCUAUCCUUCAAGUUUGCUAUCAAAAUAACCAGCCGUAAAUUAAGUACCUUUUACUUA